UACGGAGGGGCUAGCGUUGUUCGGAAUUACUGGGCGUAAAGCGCACGUAGGCGGCUUUGUAAGUUAGAGGGUGAAAGCCCCGGGGCUCAACUCCGGAAUUGCCUUUAAGACUGCAUCGCUAGAAUUGUGGAGAGGUAAGUGGAAUUCCGAGUGUAGAGGUGAAAUUCGAUAGAUAUUCGGAAGAACACCAGUGGCGAAGGCGACUUACUGGACACAUAUUGACGCUG
rnacentral:rRNA from 1 species